rnacentral:lncRNA from 1 species
CUAGGAUUUAAGUGUGGUAACCAUUAGCUAGCUUAAUUGUAGCUAAGCUUGCUUGGGUCUCUAUUAUCUUGCACUCUAGGCCUCUAAUUUUAGAUAUUGCGGCCUUAACCGGCGUAAUGCCUAAAUUAGAGAGUUGAUUGUGGCCCUAACCGGCAUAAUCGAUACACCGAAAGGAUAAUUGGUUUAGUAGCCUUGACCGGUACUAAAUACGGGACUUAACACAUAUAGGAAAUGCAUGCAUUUAUGAAAUUGGCACCGAUAUUUGCAAGAUAGUUAGUGUGAAUCACCCGACACUCC